rnacentral:rRNA from 1 species
GACGAACGCUGGCGGCGUGCUUAACACAUGCAAGUCGAACGGAAAGGCCCUGCUUUUGUGGGGUGCUCGAGUGGCGAACGGGUGAGUAACACGUGAGUAACCUGCCCUUGACUUUGGGAUAACUUCAGGGAACUGGGGCUAAUACCGGAUAGGAGCUCCUGCUGCAUGGUGGGGGUUGGAAAGUUUCGGCGGUUGGGGAUGGACUCGCGGCUUAUCAGCUUGUUGGUGGGGUAGUGGCUUACCAAGGCUUUGACGGGUAGCCGGCCUGAGAGGGUGACCGGCCACAUUGGGACUGAGAUACGGCCCAGACUCCUACGGGAGGCAGCAGUGGGGAAUAUUGCACAAUGGGCGGAAGCCUGAUGCAGCAACGCCGCGUGCGGGAUGACGGCCUUCGGGUUGUAAACCGCUUUCGCCUGUGACGAAGCGUGAGUGACGGUAAUGGGUAAAGAAGCACCGGCUAACUACGUGCCAGCAGCCGCGGUGAUACGUAGGGUGCGAGCGUUGUCCGGAUUUAUUGGGCGUAAAGGGCUCGUAGGUGGUUGAUCGCGUCGGAAGUGUAAUCUUGGGGCUUAACCCUGAGCGUGCUUUCGAUACGGGUUGACUUGAGGAAGGUAGGGGAGAAUGGAAUUCCUGGUGGAGCGGUGGAAUGCGCAGAUAUCAGGAGGAACACCAGUGGCGAAGGCGGUUCUCUGGGCCUUUCCUGACGCUGAGGAGCGAAAGCGUGGGGAGCGAACAGGCUUAGAUACCCUGGUAGUCCACGCUGUAAACGGUGGGUACUAGGUGUGGGGUCCAUUCCACGGGUUCCGUGCCGUAGCUAACGCUUUAAGUACCCCGCCUGGGGAGUACGGCCGCAAGGCUAAAACUCAAAGGAAUUGACGGGGCCCCGCACAAGCGGCGGAGCAUGCGGAUUAAUUCGAUGCAACGCGUAGAACCUUACCUGGGUUUGACAUGGAUCGGGAGCGCUCAGAGAUGGGUGUGCCUCUUUUGGGGUCGGUUCACAGGUGGUGCAUGGCUGUCGUCAGCUCGUGUCGUGAGAUGUUGGGUUAAGUCCCGCAACGAGCGCAACCCUUGUUCACUGUUGCCAGCACGUUAUGGUGGGGACUCAGUGGAGACCGCCGGGGUCAACUCGGAGGAAGGUGGGGAUGACGUCAAGUCAUCGUGCCCCUUAUGUCCAGGGCUUCACGCAUGCUACAAUGGCUGGUACAGAGAGUGGCGAGCCUGUGAGGGUGAGCGAAUCUCGGAAAGCCGGUCUCAGUUCGGAUUGGGGUCUGCAACUCGACCUCAUGAAGUCGGAGUCGCUAGUAAUCGCAGACCAGCAACGCUGCGGUGAAUACGUUCCCGGG